rnacentral:rRNA from 1 species
CUACGUAGGGGCGAGCGUUGUCCGGAAUUAUUGGGCGUAAAGAGCUCGUAGGCGGUGUGUCGCGUCGGCCGUGAAAACCUGUGGCUUAACUAUGGGCUUGCGGUCGAUACGGGCAUCACUGGAGUUCGGCAGGGGAGACUGGAAUUCCUGGUGUAGCGGUGAAAUGCGCAGAUAUCAGGAGGAACACCGGUGGCGAAGGCGGGUCUCUGGGCCGAUGACUGACGCUGAGGAGCGAAAGCGUGGGGAGCGAACAGG